AAAGAUGAGCCUGCGUUUGAUUAGUUAGUUGGUGAGGUAAUGGCUCUACCAAGACAAUGAUCAGUAGGGGGCCUUAGAGGGUGUUCCUCCACACUGGUACUGAGAUACGGACCAGACUCCUACGGGAGGCAGCAGUGAGGAAUAUUGGUCAAUGGAGGAAACUCUGAACCAGCUACGUCGCGUGCAGGAUGAAGGUCUUUUAGAUUGUAAACUGCUUUUGUAUAGAAAUAAAAUUUCCUACGUGAUAGGGACUUGAAGGUACUGUACGAAUAAGUGUCGGCUAAUUCCGUGCCAGCAGCCGCGGCAAUACGGAAGACACAAGCGUUAUUCGGAUUUAUUGGGUUUAAAGGGUGUGUAGGCUGUUUAUUAAGUCAGUAGUGAAAGCUUACAGCUUAACUGUAAAAUUGCUAUUGAUACUGGUAAACUUGAGUAAGAUUGGAGUACACUGGAAUGUAUGGUGUAGCGGUGAAAUGCAUAGAUAUCAUACAGAACACCGAUAGCGAAGGCAGGUUGCUAAAUCUUUACUGACGCUGAGUGCACGAAAGCGUGGGGAGCAAACAGGAUUAGAUACCCUGGUAGUCCACGCCCUAAACGAUGAUCACUAGCUAUUGGAAAAACGAUAUUCAGUGGCUAAGCGAAAGCGUUAAGUGAUCCACA
rnacentral:rRNA from 1 species